GUUUAUAAGAGCUAAUUUACGCAGGAGCGUAAAUAGUUCAGUAAAUUCUGUUGUGCCGCGACGUGUUUGCUUUCAUUGUAAAAAAACAUUUCUUGGUCCUUUGCAUCAUCUAAGUGGAAAAGCCACACGAUAAAGAUGAAACUCGCACUGAUAUUGAUGGCCCUCGUGGCCUCAAGCAAGACAGAAAGUACGAAUUUUGGCCGAAGCACGAGAGUGGAGAACCCCUUUGUCAUCCUAGACAACAUCGUGGAUUUCUUCGACGAAAUGAAGGGGAUGGUUGAAAAACAUUGGAGCUCUAUUUCAAAACAGAGCUUGAAACUGUUUAUAGAAUUGUACAUGAAAUUGAGAGAUUUCGUGGCUUACCUCGAAACAAAGCAAGACGUUUACCGUGUGAUACGAUUUUUCUCUUAUUUCGGUAUAGACUUUUACAAAGUAAUAAAUAUUGCGCACAACUUUCUCGGACUCCCUCCAUUCGUCCUAGCCGAGGAAAUAUUUUUUGGCGAGGACAUCCCAGCCGGGAACAUUAUAACCUUUCAUGAUUAGAUAGCGUAUAAUAAUUAGAAGAAAGCCUAAAAUUAGAGUGAAUUCAUUGAGGAAGUCAUGGAAAUUUUACCCUUAUCAAACUCCUGAUCUUCUACAGCUCGAUAUUAACGGAAUCCAAGGCUUUCUCCGAUUUCAUAAAACAAAUCAAAUCCGACAAUUUCCAACAGAUCUUCAAGGCCUAUAAUCCUAAUAUCCGGAAAAUCUUAAUGUAAUAUGGUGUUAAUCUUGAGCACAUCAAGAACGUAUUAAAGUAUAUCUUCAGCAAUAAUUCAGCAAUAAUUCAGGGUUCCCGACCGCCACUUAAUAAAAACCGACACCGUCGUGAAACAUAAGAUUCCUUAUUGCCAGACACAUCAAUGAUAUUUUUAUUCAAAAAUACACCUCGUAUGUGUCUCGUAGACAUUAUAUUCGGUUAUGUAAUUCUGUACUUCAAAAUAGAUUAAAGUAAUAAAUAUCAAUCUCACUGCUAUAUACA
rnacentral:lncRNA from 1 species